GUCGUUUGCUGAAGACUGACAUGGAGCUGGAAGUUCUGCGCUACACCAACCGCAUUUCCAGUGAAGCCCACAAAGAGGUGAUGAAACGUGUGAAGCCGGGCAUGAAAGAGUAUGAGAUGGAGAGUCUGUUCCAGCAUUACUGUUACUCUCGCGGAGGGAUGCAUCACACCUCA